GGGUUGUGAGGUUAAGCGACUAAGCGUACACGGUGGAUGCCCUGGCAGUCAGAGGCGAUGAAGGACGUGCUAAUCUGCGAAAAGCGUCGGUAAGGUGAUAUGAACCGUUAUAACCGGCGAUGUCCGAAUGGGGAAACCCAGUGCAAUUCGUUGCACUAUCGUUAACUGAAUACAUAGGUUAACGAGGCGAACCGGGGGAACUGAAACAUCUAAGUACCCCGAGGAAAAGAAAUCAACCGAGAUUCCCCCAGUAGCGGCGAGCGAACGGGGAGCAGCCCAGAGUCUGAAUCAGCUUGUGUGUUAGUGGAACGGUCUGGAAAGUCCGACGGUACAGGGUGAUAGUCCCGUACACCAAAAUGCACAGGCUGUGAACUCGAAGAGUAGGGCGGGACACGUGGUAUCCUGUCUGAAUAUGGGGGGACCAUCCUCCAAGGCUAAAUACUCCUGACUGACCGAUAGUGAACCAGUACCGUGAGGGAAAGGCGAAAAGAACCCCGGCGAGGGGAGUGAAAAAGAACCUGAAACCGUGUACGUACAAGCAGUGGGAGCACCUUCGGGUGUGACUGCGUACCUUUUGUAUAAUGGGUCAGCGACUUAUAUUCUGUAGCAAGGUUAACCGUAUAGGGGAGCCGCAGGGAAACCGAGUCUUAACUGGGCGUUAAGUUGCAGGGUAUAGACCCGAAACCCGGUGAUCUAGCCAUGGGCAGGUUGAAGGUUGGGUAACACUAACUGGAGGACCGAACCGACUAAUGUUGAAAAAUUAGCGGAUGACUUGUGGCUGGGGGUGAAAGGCCAAUCAAACCGGGAGAUAGCUGGUUCUCCCCGAAAGCUAUUUAGGUAGCGCCUCGUGAACUCAUCUUCGGGGGUAGAGCACUGUUUCGGCUAGGGGGUCAUCCCGACUUACCAACCCGAUGCAAACUACGAAUACCGAAGAAUGUUAUCACGGGAGACACACGGCGGGUGCUAACGUCCGUCGUGAAGAGGGAAACAACCCAGACCGCCAGCUAAGGUCCCAAAGUCAUGGUUAAGUGGGAAACGAUGUGGGAAGGCACAGACAGCCAGGAUGUUGGCUUAGAAGCAGCCAUCAUUUAAAGAAAGCGUAAUAGCUCACUGGUCGAGUCGGCCUGCGCGGAAGAUGUAACGGGGCUAAACCAUGCACCGAAGCUGCGGCAGCGACACUAUGUGUUGUUGGGUAGGGGAGCGUUCUGUAAGCCUGCGAAGGUGACCUGUGAGGGUUGCUGGAGGUAUCAGAAGUGCGAAUGCUGACAUAAGUAACGAUAAAGCGGGUGAAAAGCCCGCUCGCCGGAAGACCAAGGGUUCCUGUCCAACGUUAAUCGGGGCAGGGUGAGUCGACCCCUAAGGCGAGGCCGAAAGGCGUAGUCGAUGGGAAACAGGUUAAUAUUCCUGUACUUGGUGUUACUGCGAAGGGGGGACGGAGAAGGCUAUGUUAGCCGGGCGACGGUUGUCCCGGUUUAAGCAUGUAGGCUGGUUGUCCAGGCAAAUCCGGAUAAUCAAGGCUGAGGUGUGAUGACGAGGCACUACGGUGCUGAAGUAACAAAUGCCCUGCUUCCAGGAAAAGCCUCUAAGCAUCAGGUAACAUCAAAUCGUACCCCAAACCGACACAGGUGGUCAGGUAGAGAAUACCAAGGCGCUUGAGAGAACUCGGGUGAAGGAACUAGGCAAAAUGGUGCCGUAACUUCGGGAGAAGGCACGCUGGUGUGUAGGUGAAGCCCCUGCGGGUGGAGCUGAGACCAGUCGAAGAUACCAGCUGGCUGCAACUGUUUAUUAAAAACACAGCACUGUGCAAACACGAAAGUGGACGUAUACGGUGUGACGCCUGCCCGGUGCCGGAAGGUUAAUUGAUGGGGUUAUCCGUAAGGAGAAGCUCUUGAUCGAAGCCCCGGUAAACGGCGGCCGUAACUAUAACGGUCCUAAGGUAGCGAAAUUCCUUGUCGGGUAAGUUCCGACCUGCACGAAUGGCGUAAUGAUGGCCAGGCUGUCUCCACCCGAGACUCAGUGAAAUUGAACUCGCUGUGAAGAUGCAGUGUACCCGCGGCAAGACGGAAAGACCCCGUGAACCUUUACUAUAGCUUGACACUGAACAUUGAGCCUUGAUGUGUAGGAUAGGUGGGAGGCUUUGAAGCGUGGACGCCAGUCUGCGUGGAGCCAACCUUGAAAUACCACCCUUUAAUGUUUGAUGUUCUAACGUUGGCCCCUGACCGGGGUUGCGGACAGUGUCUGGUGGGUAGUUUGACUGGGGCGGUCUCCUCCCAAAGCGUAACGGAGGAGCACGAAGGUUAGCUAAUCCUGGUCGGACAUCAGGAGGUUAGUGCAAUGGCAUAAGCUAGCUUGACUGCGAGCGUGACGGCGCGAGCAGGUGCGAAAGCAGGUCAUAGUGAUCCGGUGGUUCUGAAUGGAAGGGCCAUCGCUCAACGGAUAAAAGGUACUCCGGGGAUAACAGGCUGAUACCGCCCAAGAGUUCAUAUCGACGGCGGUGUUUGGCACCUCGAUGUCGGCUCAUCACAUCCUGGGGCUGAAGUAGGUCCCAAGGGUAUGGCUGUUCGCCAUUUAAAGUGGUACGCGAGCUGGGUUUAGAACGUCGUGAGACAGUUCGGUCCCUAUCUGCCGUGGGCGCUGGAGAAUUGAGGGGGGCUGCUCCUAGUACGAGAGGACCGGAGUGGACGCAUCACUGGUGUUCGGGUUGUCAUGCCAAUGGCACUGCCCGGUAGCUAAAUGCGGAAGAGAUAAGUGCUGAAAGCAUCUAAGCACGAAACUUGCCCCGAGAUGAGUUCUCCCUGAGACUUUAAGUCUCCUGAAGGAACGUUGAAGACGACGACGUUGAUAGGCCGGGUGUGUAAGCGCAGCGAUGCGUUGAGCUAACCGGUACUAAUGAACCGUGAGGCUUAACCUUACAACGCCGAAG
rnacentral:rRNA from 1 species